rnacentral:lncRNA from 1 species
CCUGCGUUCUCGUGGAGAGCCGUUUGAGAUUCACCAGAGCAGCAGGGGAGUCGUGACCCCCAGGGGCUCAGUAGAGCAUGAGCCUGGCCAUUGCCAAGCGGCCCGCCCAUGCGUGCUGUGGUUACACGGUCUUCAUGCUGGCUGGGGAGCCCCGAGAACUCGGGUUUGGUUCGUCCUCCAAACACGUGAACACGUGUUGAGCACUGACUGUGAAUUCGGCAGCUGUGAUGGGGGCUGAACUCAGGGCCAAGGAGCCAGGCUCCACUCCACUGUGACACCAGGUGUGGGGCUCGGAGCCACACUUUGAACCUGAGAGAGUGGCUGAGCUGGAUGAUUCUCAAAGUGCGCUCUGCGGACCAGCAGCAGCACCACCAGCAGCAGCAUCACCCGGGAACUCAAAGGAAAUGCAGGUUCUCUGGCCUCUGCCGAAUGCACUGAAUCAGAAUCUGCAUUUUAACAAGAUCCCCAGCUACAACUGCACAAAAGAGCCCGAACGAGAAACACUGGCUGAGCCCAGUCAACCCUGGAACCAGAAGAGAUGAUAAUGCCAUCCAGCCCUGAGAUUUGUUUGGAGGGUGACGCGGCCAAGGAUGACACCCACUGCCCCAGAGGCUGGGGGACUGGCAGGUAUAUCUUAGGGUUUGGGGGUGGGAGUGAAGGUCAUCCUGAGGAGAGUCCUUUUUGAGUGUGUUAAGGUGUCUGUGUCCAUGUGGACGGGCUGUCAGAAUGGGCUGGGGGAUGCGGUCAGGGACCACUCCCAUUCCCAGGGCCUGGGUGUCCUGACCAUCCAUGCUAGGUCUGUUCCACGUUGGCCACACUGUUCCAGGCAAGCGCCUUUGGUCACACGGACUGGUCUCUGAGACUGGUCUGAUGUGUGUACUCUCAGGAGCCUGGACAGGGGCAGUCUCAAUCCAGAAAUGACCUCUUCAAUACUUGGUGUAGUUCCCUGUAUGAAACGCCCAAUAUUAUGAGCCACCCAGGCCUGGGUCACCUGCUGACUGGCUGGAGGAAGUGCAUGGGACCAUGUGAGGUCACGGCAGCCCCAGGGUUUGCAGGUCGUCUGCAUCCUGGCUCCCCCGCUUACAAGCUGUUUGACCUUGGUGAGGUUAGAUCAUCUUCCUAAGCUUCAGUUUCUUCAGCCACACAAUGGGUAUAACACUUACCCUUGAGGGUUACUGCGAUUGUCACACAAGGCAGCAUUUGCAUGGGCCCUGGGCCAUGCUAGACAUUCAUCAGGCACUGAAGCUAUGGGGGAGAGAAGUGAGGGGCCCAGGCUCUGGAGCCAGUGGGUUUAAACUCCACUCUACCACUAACAAGACAUUAUUAAAAACUUCUGUGCGCCUCCAUUUCCUCAUCUGUAACAUGGGGAUAAUAAUAGCACCUGCCUCCUGGCUUGUUGAGAGGAUAUAUGUAGUGCUUACAACAGCACAACACACAUAUAUGGGUACUUCACAAAUACAAAUCCAUUCAAGGAAACCAACCCUGGUGCCCUGGGAUGGCCGUUGGUCAGAGACACAGAAGCCGAAGCCAGCUUAGGACAAGCGGAGGGGCCCAGGCCUGCCCCUCGGUUCCGGGGGCCUCACUUCUGUUCCAGGGCUGUUCAGUUACCUGCUCCUAGGCCUGGGAGGCCCAGUGGACAACAGAGUGACCUCUUCUCCACUGAUUUGAUCUGAAUACAUUCUGCCCCAUGAGGGCCCAAAUGAGGGAACUGGUAUGAUAUUCACAGAGAGGUGACAUCACCCGCUGAAGAUCACACAGCAAGUCCCUGGGCCACCUGGAUCCCGGCCACAGCUCCACCCUGCUACCUCCCUCUCUUAAGUAACACAUUAAUAAGUGUCUUACCCUCAGGCCAUUAUCUGUGUUCCCAGGCCAGGGAACAUUUCUGAAACACAUCAAACAUUGACAAAAAGAGGUGUUUUUCUGUCCCCAGGCCAGGCCCUUCGGCCUCUGUUAACCAGUGAGUGUUCUCUGUUAAUCCUGAGCCCAGCUCCUCCUACACACAAGUACAAACAAGGGCAUUGGGCAUGGGAGAAACCUGUCCACCAGGGCCAGGAGGGGACACGGAAGGUUAAUGGGUCCCCUCCCCCAAAGCAAUGCACACAGCUGGGGCUCAAUAAGUGCUACUGGGUGGUAGGAACAGAGCCAGCUGAGGGCACAGGAAGAGGGAUCUGCUAAGCAGAGGAGGCCUGACCUGGGCUUCAUUGGGUAAAACCAGUCAUCAUAAUAAGUAGCUGGCAUUUCGGGAGCUCUUAGUUAGUUCCAGACACUGCCCUGAGCACUGGACAUGGUCACUCACUAACGUUUCCAUGUUUCAGUAUCUGUGGGGUGCAUAUGUUGCUCUCCCCAGUCUACAGACAGGAAGCUGCAGGCAAGAAAGAUGAAGUCAUUUGCUUAAGUCACACCAUUACCAAGAGGCCGAGCUUGGAUUCACACCCAGCACCCUGGCUCCAGACCCAAGCUCUCAACCACAAUACAAGCCUGUGGAGUGGGAGGGGUGAAAUACAUGAGUGAGGGGUGACUUCUAGGUAUUGGCUUGGGGUGGCUGUCCCUUUGAUGGAUAUGUGGGAGGAGCGCAGGUGUCAGGUGAGGUAUUGGGGAGAAGGUGGAUGAAUUGGGUUUGGCAGGUGUUGAGUUCCAGAUACCUGAGGAUGCUCAGGUGGAGGAGGCAGGAGAGAGGCGGCUUAUGGCUCUGAAGCUGGGUGAUGGGGGCUGGAGCUGCUCACUCCAGAGUCAUCAGCGUAGAAGCGCAGCCUGGGAGACACCUGAGCGAUGAAGGGGCAAGGCCACAGCUAAGGCAGGGGAAUUGAUAUUUAGUGUGCAAGGAUUCAAAAUGACAGCAAGAAAAGAAGUGUUUUAGAGACUAUUACUAUUAUUAUUAUUGAGACAGAGUCUUACUCUGUUGCCCAGGCUGGAGUGCAGGGGUGCAAUCAUAGCUUACUGUAACCUUGAACUCCUGGGCUGAAGUGAUACUCCGGCCUCCGCCUUCCGGGACUCAGCCACCACAACCAGCUAACUUUUAAAUUUUUCUGUAAAGACAGGGUGGGGGAGCCUCCCUAUAUUGCCCAUGCUGGUCUUGAACUCCUGACCUCAAGCAGUCCUCCAGCUUUAGCCUCCCAAAGUGCUGGGAUUACAGGAAUCAGCCACCAAACCUGGCCAAAUGCUAUUUUUAUUUAUUUUAUUUUAUUUAUUUAUUUUUGAGACGGAGUUUUUUUGUUUGUUUGUCUUUUGUUUUCUUUUGAGACAGAGUCUCGCUCUGUCGCCCAGGCUGGAGUAAAGUGGCGUGAUCUUGGCUCACUGCAACCUCCACCCCCUGGGUUCAAGCAAUUUCCUGCCUCAGCCUCCUGAGUAGUUUGGAUUAUGGGCACCUGCCA